rnacentral:rRNA from 1 species
AACCAGCCAAGCGCUGGUGAGGCGCGGGGUCUGAAAGGGCCCGGAGUCACGGCUUUGACACUAGAAACCGGACGAUCUAGCCCUGGGCAGGGCGAAGUCAGGCGAAAGCCUGGUGGAGGCCCGAAGGAGUGCUGACGUGCAAUUCGCUUCUCAGACCUGGGGCUAGGGGCGAAAGACCAAUCUAGUCCGGUGAUAGCUAGUUCCCUCCGAAGUGGGUCGCAGCCCAGCCCCGAGCGAGGUAGCCGAUGGGGUAGAGCACUGAUUGGGAAGUAAGGGGUCGAAAGACCUCCCUUUUCUUUCAAACUCCGAAUCCAUCGGCGCCGUAGACCUUGGGAGACGGGAUCUGGGGGGUAAGCCCCCAGUCCGAGAGGGGGACAACCCAGACUGAGGUUAAGGCCCCAAAGUGCUGGCUAAGUGUCAAACUGAAAGGCGUCAUCAGCCCCAGACAGCGGGGAGGUAGGCUUAGAAGCAGCUAUCCUUUAAAGAAAGCGUAACAGCUCACCCGCCGAGGCUGAUGGCCCUGAAAAUGGACGGGGCUAAGCCAGCCGCCGAUACCCCAGAGUGCAGCCUAGCGCUGCAAUCCGGUAGGAGGGCGUCCCGACUGGGCGGAAGCCGGGCCGUAAGGUCCGGUGGACCGGUUCGGGAUUGCAUAUCCCGGUGGUAGUAACAGCAAAGAGAAGUGAGAAUCUUCUCCGCCGAAAGGGCAAGGGUUCCCCAGCAACGCGUCGUCAGCUGGGGGUAAGUCGGUCCUAAGGCCGAUCUUAACUGAGGAGGCCGAAAGGGAAGCCGGUUAAGAUUCCGGCACCACGGAGGUACACGCGGCGACGCAAGCCCAACAUCUGACGCUUCGGGAUAGGCUGAGCAAGGCUGUCGCCUUGUUUAACCGUAUAAGCCUGGGGAGUGCCGUAAUGGCGAGAACCAGGUGAAAGCGGGAAUAGCCGCCCGUUUUAGGGCGGUUCAGCUGAUUUCUGGAGCCCUUGAAAAGGAUGUUGGGAAGGAUCCUCUGUGACCGUACCCAGAUCCGACACAGGUGCCCCUAGGCGAGGAACCUAAGGCGUGUCGGGUGCACACCAAGCGAGGGAACUCGGCAAAUUAGCCCCGUAACUUCGGGAUAAGGGGUGCCUGCGGUUUUGGCUUCGGCUGGGACUGCAGGUCGCAGUGACAAAGGGGUCUCGACUGUUUAAUAAAAACACAGGAAGCCGCAAGCCCGAAAGGGUGUGAACGGCUUCUGAAUCCUGUCCAGUACAGGUACCUGAAAUCUGGGUUCAACCGGACCAAGGGCCUGCAAACGACGGGAGUAACUCUGACUCUCUUAAGGUAGCCAAAUGCCUUGUCGGGUAAGUUCCGACGCGCAUGAAUGGAGCAACGAGGACCCCGCUGUCCCCGCUUGGUACCCGGUGAACCCACGUAACGUGGACGAACAGUCCACGGACUCCCAGCGGGAAAAGAAGACCCCGUGGAGUUUUACUGCAGCCUGUCGCUGGGAUAUGGCUGCGGAUGCAGAGUGUAGGCGGGAGCCGUUAAUCUCAGUCUCUCUGGGGACUGGGGGAGGCGCCAAUGGAACACCGCCCUUUCGUGUCCGUGUCUCUUACCGGCGCUUCGGCGCUGGGACAACGGUUGGUGGGCAGUUUGGCUGGGGCGGCACCCCCUUGAAAAAAUAUCGAGGGGGCCCAAAGGUCGGCUCAGGCGGGACAGAAACCCGCCGCAGAGUGCAAAGGCAAAAGCCGGCCUGACUGGAUCCUCCAAAGCAAGGGAUCCAGAGGCGAAAGUCUGGCUUAGCGAACAUCCAGAUCCUCUUUGGUGGGGGUUGGAUAUGUCAGAAAAAUUACCCCGGGGAUAACAGGCUCGUCGCGGGCGAGAGUUCACAUCGACCCCGCGGCUUGGUACCUCGAUGUCGGCUCUUCCUAUCCUGGUCCUGCAUAAGGGGCCAAGGGUGAGGCUGCUCGCCUAUUAAAAGGGAACGUGAGCUGGGUUUAGACCGUCGUGAGACAGGUCGGACUUUAUCUGCUGGGAGUGCUGGUCGCCUGAGGGGAAAGGGUUCCCAGUACGAGAGGAACGGAACGUUGUAGCCAAUAGUCUACCGGUUGUCCGACAGGGCACUGCCGGGCAGCCACGCUGUCGCGGAUAAGAGCUGAAAGCAUCUAAGCUCGAAGCCGCUCCCGAAAAUAGGCGGCCAUUCCAUGACACGAGACUUGGCGACAGGCCUCAGUCAUGGACGAGGGCCCCCAUAGAAGAUGGGGUUGAUGGAGCCGGGGUGUACGCAUCAAGGCUUCGGCCGAGGUGUUUAGCCCGUGGCCCCCAACAGCCCGAGGUGUCGGGCUG